rnacentral:rRNA from 1 species
AGUCAUAUGCUUGUCUCAGAGAUUUAGCCAUGCAUGUCCAAGUACAAACCUUAAAACGGUGAAACCGCGAAUGGCUCAUUAAAUCAGCUAUGGUUCCUUAGACCAUACACACUACAUGGAUAACUGUAGUAAUUCUAGAGCUAAUACAUGCCACGAUGCCCUGACCCUUCGGGGGAUGGGUGCAUUUAUUAGAACAGAACCAACCGGGUGCAUUCCUCUGGUUUGCGCCUGUCACAUUCUGUGAUGACUCUGGAUAACUUUGCUGAUCGCAGUCGGCCUUGUGUCGGCGACGAGUCUUUCAAAUGUCUGCCCUAUCAAUUGUCGAUGGUAGGUGACCUGCCUACCAUGGUGAUAACGGGUAACGGGGAAUCAGGGUUCGAUUCCGGAGAAAGAGCCUGAGAAACGGCUACUAUUUCCAAGGAAGGCAGCAGGCGCGCAACUUACCCAAUCCCGGCACGGGGAGGUAGUGACGAAAAAUACGGAUGCGGGACUCAACAGAGGCUCCGUAAUUCGAAUGAGUACAAUUCAAAUCCUUUAACGAGGAUCAACUGGAGGGCAAGUCUGGUGCCAGCAGCCGCGGUAACUCCAGCUCCAGAAGCGUAUAUUAAAUUUGUUGCAGUUAAAAAGCUCGUAGUUGGAUCUGGGAAGCACGGUUACGAGUCGUUUCUUACAUUUCUAACCUAGCCACGGUUGGGCCGGUUAUGUAAGGCGAUUUUGUAGCUGUGUAGCCUUUCUGCCGUGUCUGUUUACGGGUGCUGACGGUCAAUACGUUGGCAUGCUUCCAGAUGCUCUUAACCGGGUGUCUGGGGCGGACGGCAAGUUUACUUUGAACAAAUUUGAGUGCUCAAAGCAGGCCUAUGCCUGACAAUUCUUGCAUGGAAUAAUGGAAUAGGACUUCGGUUCUAUUUUGUUGGUUUUCGGAUCCGAAGUAAUGGUUAAGAGGGACAGACGGGGGCAUUUGUAUGGCGGUGUUAGAGGUGAAAUUCUAUGAUCAUCGCCAGACAAACUAAAGCGAAAGCAUUUGCCAAGGAUGUUUUCAUUAAUCUGGAGCGAAAGUCAGAGGUUCAAAGACGAUCAGAUACCGUCGUAGUUCUGACCAUAAACGAUACCAACUGACGAUCCGUGGGUGCUCGUUCAUUGACCCCAUGGGCAGUCCCCGGGAAACCUUGAAGUCUUUGGGUUCCGGGGGAAGUAUGGUUGCAAAGCUGAAACUUAAAGGAAUUGACGGAAGGGCACCACCAGGAGUGGAGCGUGCGGUUCAAUUCGACUCAACACGGGAAAUCUCACCCGGCCCGGACACUGUGAGGAUUGACAGAUUGAGAGCUCUUUCUUGAUUCGGUGGUUGGUGGUGCAUGGCCGUUCUUAGUUGGUGGAGCGAUUUGUCUGGUUAAUUCCGAUAACGAACGAGACUUUGGCCUGCUAAAUAGUAUGCCUGUCCUCUGCUCUUGUGCGGGUGGCGGUAGUGGUAGCCUUUCGGGGUGAUACUGCCGUACGCCGGCGAGGGCUGCGCGGGUCUAUACUUCUUAGAGGGACAAGCGGUUUUUAGCCGCACGAAAUUGAGCAAUAACAGGUCUGUGAUGCCCUUAGAUGUCCGGGGCCACACGUGCGCUACAAUGACGGUUUCAACGAGUAUGGCGACCUUACUCGAAAGAGCUGGGUAAACUGAAACAUAACCGUCGUAACUGGGAUCGGGGCUUGCAAUUAUUCCCCGUGAACGAGGAAUCCCUGGUAAGUGCAAGUCAUUACCUUGCGCUGAUUACGUCCCUGCCCUUUGUACACACCGCCCGUCGCUACUACCGAUUGAGUGGUUUAGUGAGGACUUUGGAUCGGUUCCAGUGCAGUUGCUUCGGCAGCUCAACCGGAACUGAAAAGAUGUCCGAACUUGAUCAUUUAGAGGAAGUAAAAGUCGUAACAAGGUUUCC